rnacentral:rRNA from 1 species
GAUGAACGCUGGCGGCGUGCCUAAUACAUGCAAGUCGAGCGAACGGACGAGAAGCUUGCUUUUCUGAUGUUAGCGGCGGACGGGAGAGUAACACGUGGAUAACCUACCUAUAAGACUGGGAUAACUUCGGGAAACCGGAGCUAAUACCGGAUAAUAUUUUGAACCGCAUGGUUCAAAAGUGAAAGACGGUCUUGCUGUCACUUAUAGAUGGAUCCGGGCUGCAUUAGCUAGUUGGUAAGGUAACGGCGUACCAAGGCAACGAUGCGUAGCCGAACUGAGAGGGUGAUAGGCCACACGGGAGCGGGGACACGGUCCUGACUCCUACGGGAGGCAGCAGUAGGGAAUCUUCCGCAGUGGUCGAGAGCCUGACGGAGCAACGCCGCGUGAGUGAUGAAGGUCUUCGGAUCGUAAAACUCUGUUAUUAGGGAAGAACAGAUGUGUAAGUAACUGUGCACAUCUUGACGGUACCUAAUCAGAAAGCCACGGCUAACUACGUG